AACGAACGCUGGCGGCGCGUCUUAAGCAUGCAAGUCGAACGGCAAGAUACUUUCGGGUAUCCUAGAGUGGCGGACUGGUGAGUAACGCGUGGAUGACGUACCCUCGUGACGGGGAUAGCCGGUAGAAAUACCGGGUAAUACCGGAUAAGGUCUCACGGAAUAAAGGCGUGAGAGGAAAGCAGCGUAUGCUGCGCAGGAGGAACGGUCUGCGGCCUAUCAGCUGGUUGGCAGGGUAAAGGCCUACCAAGGCGACGACGGGUAUCCGGCCUGAGAGGGUGAACGGACACAUUGGGACUGAGAUACGGCCCAGACUCCUACGGGAGGCAGCAGCUAAGAAUAUUCCGCAAUGGGGGGAAUCCUGACGGAGCGACGCCGCGUGGACGAUGAAGGUCGGAAGAUUGUAAAGUCCUUUUAUACAUGAAGAAGAAGUUAUACCAGGAAAUGGUAUGAUGGUGACGGUAGUGUAUGAAUAAGCACCGCUAA
rnacentral:rRNA from 1 species